UGUCAAUAUUGGCUCAUAUUUGUGAUUAUUGUGUUUGUGGAGAUGUCCUGAAUGAAGUGACUCCAUCUCUCCUGCACUCAGGUACAACAUUCAGAGCUUUAACCCCUGUGCUUUGCUUUCUGAUAUUGUUAGUUUAUUAAUUCAGUCAAUCAGCUGAUUUUAUUGUGCUGUUUGCACAUAUCUGCACAUAUUUUCUAUUGUAUCUCUUGUUUAGAUCAGAUGUGGUAGAUUUCUGCCCUGAUCUUCAUGGUUUCAUUCUGCGUAAAAUGAUCUUCAAGUGAGUGUCAGAGAGACUAUAAAAUAGUCAUGAAAAUCAAAUUAUGAUUGUUAGAAACCAAGAUCAAUGAAAAUAUAAUUUAUGAUUUAAUCACUUCAACAGACUAUGACCUACAGUAUCUAUCUGUCAUAAGGUCAUAUUUAACGAUGAAAUCAGAGGUCUAAACUGUAAUAUCUCUGAGUAAAUAUAACAAUAUUUAAAAAUGAGUGUUUUCAGGUGUUUUGUGAAGGCAGUGCCGUCUGUCUGUCAGUGUGAGGAUCCAGAAAACAGGAGAGUGAAUCAGACUGACAGAGAGAAAGAGCUGAAGGAUCCUGAAGGUCAUGAAGGUCAGAUCUCAUCAUCCUCAUUGAUUCCAGGAAUCUGAGCAGUUCAAGGCCUCAGAGUCCAGAGGAUGAUCAUUCAGUCGCUCGGUAUAGAGAGUUUUGCUUCAUUCUGGACAUUUAUUCUCAAUCCUCUCUUUUCAUGCAGUUACAUCUCAUAGACUUGAUCUUGAAUCUGUUGUGUUUCUGCUGAUCUCUGAUCAUCUGUUGCUCUAAUGCUUGGUUUUCAAGACGUGAAUAGCAGAAAUAUCCUCUUAAAACUAGUGCAGCCUGUGUAUUUGAAAUAGUUUUAGGUUUUUUAAUAAUUAUUCCACAGUUGGAAUAGUUCACUUUCAUAUUUGGGCUUUAAACAUCUUGAAAUCAGUGGUGCCAAUUGAGUGUGUGUGUGUGUGUGUGUGUGUGUGUGUGUGUGUGUGUGUGUGUGUGUGUGUGUGUGUGUGUGUGUGUGUGAAUUUUCGGCAUCAUUACUCCAGUCUUCAGUGUCACAUGAUCCUUCAGAAAUCAUUCUAAUAUACUGAUUUGCUUUUGAAACAUUUAUUAUUAUUAUCAAUGUUGAAAACAGUUGUGCUGCUUCAUAUUUUUAUGGAAACUUGAUCCAUUUUUUUCUUUAUCAAUGAAUAGAAAGUUAAAAAAUAGCAUUUAUUUGAAAUAUUAUUUAUUUUUGUAGCAUUAUAAAUGUCUUUAGUGACAUGAAUUUGAUGCCCCAAUAAAAGUAACUUCUUUCAAAAAAAAAAAAUUAUAUAUAUAUAUAUAUAUAUACACACACAUACAUCUGUAUGUACUUAAAUAUUGAAUAGCAGUGCAUUACUAUUGUUACAGUUGGGGCAUAAUAAAAUAAAAAUAAUACCUAAAAGUUUACUAUUUAGUAGGUAAAUGGUAAAUAUAUAUAUAUAUAUAUAUACACACACAUACAUCUGUAUGUACUUAAAUAUUGAAUAGCAGUGCAUUACUAUUGUUACAUUGGGGCAUAUAAAUAAAAAUAAUCCAAAAGUUUACAUUUAGUGGUAAAUGGUGAGUAAAACAUGCCUUCAUUUUAGCUAGAUUUGAAUGCUUUUUAGUUUUUGCUUUAAACAUUUUAAAUCUACUUAAUAAACGUGACUGUUUAGUUGAAAUUGUGUCCCCAAAUUUAAAACAAUACAUUUCAGAGCAUUGCAGAUCAAAGCAUCUUCACAAUGCUGCAAAACAUGUGUAAUACAUUAUAUAAGCUAUAUUUCCCAGUCCUGUGGUGUGCGUCUGUAGGUGUUGCUAUGAAUCGAAAUUAGUGUUCCCCAAACUUUAAAACUAAAUACAUUUCAGAGCAUUGCAGAUCAAGCAUCUUCACAAUGCUGCAAACAUGUGUAAUACAUUAUAUAAGCUAUAUUUCCCAGUCCUGUGGUGUGCGUCUGUAGGUGUUGCUAUGAAUCAAAUACACAAUAUAGUGGCAUCGAUAGAUUACCGGUGAUCUGCGGCAGCUUGCCUUUCCAUCUCUCCAGUAAAGUCAGUCCAAUGAGAGACACACUCAAGAGGAACAAGGGUCUCAGAGAUGUGGACGACAGGAGCCUAGAACACACAUACAUCUGUUCAAACAUCACAAUCUGCAUCUUAUCCAAUUACAAAAACAACAUAUGACACAAAUAAGUCAUGUAUGUAAUUCCCCAUAUAAGAAAAGUUACCAUAGUUCUUGCCUACUAACUGUGAUAUUAUCACCAUAAUACAAAGGUAACAUUGGUAUAAAUUUUCAAUAAUAUAGACAGAUGAAUAUCUUUCUGUGUAUACUG
rnacentral:lncRNA from 1 species